AGGAGCUGAUCAUUGCUACGUGUUGGUGUACCUCGACAAGCUCACCCAGGGAGGGCACCCCCAAGCUCAACUCCAUGGAGCCAUGCUUCAGCGUCAAGGACAGCAGCAGGAUUCCGUUGGUACAACAGAGGACAAUGGGUUAUCUAGGUGCGUGGUGGUAGGCUAUUCCGUUGGACCUGCUGCAUGUUCAUCAUCGGCUGCAUAACAGCCAUGAACCAACUCGCCUGUCCUUUUAUUUGUGGUAUUGAUGGCCAUGGACCACAGUUCCAGUAGUCGGCAAAAUCAAGUAUCUAGUAACUGCUCCUAUCCAGUAUGCAUGCAAAGGUGCUGACCAUUGGUUCGUAUUGGUGUACCUCGACAAGCUCACCCAGGGAGGACACCCCCAAGUUCAACUCCAUGGAGCCCUGCUCCAGCGUCAAGGACAGCAACAGGAUUCCAUCGGUACAGGUGAGGACAACGUGUUCAUCGAGUUGCGCGGUGGUAGGCUCUUCCGUUGGACCCAUUGCCUGUUCGGCAUCGGUUGCAUAACAGCAUGGGAGGUGGCGAUCAGUCGGACACGGGGGGCAGUCGGUGCCGUGGAGGUGAUGCUCAUGCAGUGGGUCUCAGCCCUAUUUAAAGGACUUAGAUGGCAGAAUUUGCGGAGGAACCCUUAAAUAGGAAUGGUGUGUAAUGUUCUUAGCUUCGUGUAGAGUACUUAUUUAUUGCAAUCAGAGUAAUGAUCUGUUCUCUGUAGCCAAAAUUCUGCACUGUUUUGUUUCAGUUUUCCUUGUCAAGAUAGUCCAUGUGUGUGUGAUGUGCUCAUGUGAGCUAUCUUACAGGAAUUACCAUGUAUGUGUGGUGCAAAUGUGUUCUGCAUAUU